rnacentral:lncRNA from 1 species
CCAGCUAUGGGUACCAGAUCGAAGCCCAGCCAAGCAGAAUCCUGCCUUGGGCUUUACACUAACGGAAGGUCCUUUUUCUUAUGGUUAGGGGACCCAGAAGGCCAGCAGCCAGGGUUCCCUGACAAAAGCAUGUAGUUGAGUACAAGUUAUCAAUCCGAGGGACAAGAGGGAGGGACAAGAACCAGUCUCAGCUGCAUUCACAUCCUGGACCCUGUCAUCUCAAAGCCAGUUCCCUCCCUGCCUUCCAACUUGGUUUCAUUCACUUUGGAUUGAGUUGCGUUCUCACUGAACAGAAACCCACAACCCAAAACAAGGGCAGCCCAUGGCCGUGAUUAAGCUCUGCACCAGUGGCGAAGGGAUCGAGUGGGAGACCAGAAUUCCAGCUCCGCCCUCUGUGCGGCCUCAAGGGAGUUAUGAACUUCUGAGCCUUAGACAUGCUUCCUGAGCUGCCACCAAGCUGCCUCAUGGGGCUGUCCUAAGGAUUAAUGUAUUAAUCCAAUCCCAGGCACAUCAGUCAUUAAUAAAAUUAAGAAUACGGUGACAACUAAGCCCACUACCUUUGGAAGUAACUCCUUACUAACUACAUUAAACCCAAACUCGAGGCUCUGGAAAAGAGAAUGCCAGCUGGGAGACAAAACGGCAGAAAGGAAGGUUUCUCCAGGCUCUGGCCAGACAAAAUCCUUCUCUGCAGAGGAUGCUGCUCCAGGGUCCCAACUCUGGCCACAGUCCCCUUUUCCCACCAAGUUUCUGUACCCCAGCAGUUCUCUCCAAAAUCCAUCAGACCCCAAAACCCGAGAAUGGACCUCUGAUGAAAGCAUCUGAGAGCCGUCCAGCCCCAAAAGGAGACAAGCAGGGUCACAUCUGGGUUCCAGAAGCAUCCAGGGAAGCAAACCACUGAUUUAUACACACCAGAAAAGAUACCUGAGAGUGUAUAUUUAUAGAAAGAUACAUAGAAAUGGACAGAUGGCAUCUAUCUAUAGAUACAGAAAGCUCUGUUAGAGAACCGUGUAGGUACGUAUAUAUGUGCCACAUCCUCCACCACAACCAACAGCACACAAUUGCCUGGAUCUUGGAAAACCACGCUUGUUUAAGUGGUUGGUUCCCUCCCUAGCAGUUUCCAAAAUGAGAAGGAUGGUCUCAGGGAUAGUCCUUAAAUACGUGUGUGUAUCACUGUAAAGUAGAGAGAGAAGAAGGAGAAGGAAGAGAAGUGGAUUUUCAUGUCGUGCAUGGCAGAAGAGAUGGGACUCUUGGGGAAAAGGGCUUGAUCCCACUGGAAAAGCAUGAAAGACAACUCCAGAAAAGACAGCUAAGGUUUCUAGGUUGGGACAUAAAAACACAACAGCAAGACGUUCGCACUCUGCAGUCCACUGAAAUCCCUUGUAGCAUAUAACAAUCAGUUAAGGGCAAAAUAAAAUCAGAAUAAUACUAAGAGGUAGCAGCUGUUUAUCUUCUCGGAGAUUUCGAGGGUCUCUGGAAGCCGGGCCAAGUAAGGGUGCUCUCCUGGAAGAGGCUGGGGUGGGGCAGAGUUGAGGCUAAGGGCUCCCUGGCUCUGGGAAGGGUGUGGGCUGAUCCACAUAGAUGCUGCAGAUCCCGAGCCCCGAGGGAGCCUCUGCCCAUUACAGGCCACUCAAAACCAGAGUCAUUUCCUGGGCUAGUUAUGCAGUCCCCACAACA